AGCCUCGAGGUGUAUACAUGUCGGAUUGCAAAUCCGAAGUAGUAGGUUAGACCCUGCCGGGGCUU